rnacentral:lncRNA from 1 species
AAAACAAAGAACAUAAAUUCAAAGGCCUGCUACGUGCCAAUUCGUGCGCUAUGGGUAAAUAACCCAGAGAAGGCUUUAUACUUGGCACGCACAACACAUAUUUACAAAGCCAAACUAAAAGGAAGGCCACUCGCUCAGUAUGGGUAGGCUCAGCACUCGAAUGAUUGUGGAGGGUCUGCAGGCUUGAAUAAGAGUCGGUAUAGUUUUUACCAAACUGUCGGGCGCCA